UUCGGUGUCGUGCCCUCCCUUGGAUCCUCCACGCGGUUGUCUCCCAUGUGCCUCCAUCGUGCGGGCACCUGUUCGGUAAAAAUUAAUUAUAAUUUCUAAUUUUUAUUUUGGUAUAUUGAAAAUAAUAUUAUGUUGGAAAUACUCGAUGCAAAAUGAGGAAGAAUAAAUGGAACUUUCUAGUGUGGGGCAUCGUGUUUAACAAAAGAAGCAUGCCCCACAUGUCACUAAAACGUUUUAUGUGUAUUUAUGGAAAUACUUGCUGAAAAAUGAGAAUGAAAAAAUUUCUGUAGUGUGAUGGAACAUGUAAAGCAGAAGAAGCAGGUGUGAAUAACACGUGCUAUGGCAAAUUAAAAAAGAGAUCCGUAUGACCUGUGGUGUAGAGGAAAGGAUAAGGCUUCCUUGCAAAGGCAAAGGGGAUCGAUGCUCCCCAUUCCAUUUCUCUGAAUUCUAUCGCACCUGCGGCUCCCGGUGCUUUGGGCGUGUAUUCUCUCCAUCGCGCCGCGCGACGCUCGCACCUUUUUCCUCCUUCCUGGUAAAUUUCCUUCUCUGAAUUUCUAGCGCGCCGCGCGGCUCCCGGUGGUUUGGGCGUGUUCUUCUCUGCUCCAUCGUUCUACUGCCCCCAUCUAUCGCUCAAGCGCCGCGCCUGCGCUCACCUUUUUUCUUUGGUCCUCUCCAACGGAUCAAUUCCCGCAGGUAUAUUUUUCAAUCCUUCCUUUUCCUCUCUUUAAUUUAUGUAGGCAGCAGAUUUCACAGCAUUGUGAGAGCGGGAGUACUUGAUUCACCUUGCUGAUAUUUCAAGCAAAAUCCAACGUAUAUAAACCGGUGGCACCCAUUGUAAGGAAACGAUGUGGGACUAUUCGAAUCUGAGUAUCGAUGCUAUGUUUGCUGGAUGGAUUUGAUCGGAUUGUUUGUGAAUCUCUCUUAUGGGCCUGAUUUGAGAAAAAGUCGUGGUCGCAUGGCCGCGCGACCCGCGUGGGUCAGCUGGUUUGUUUGGUUCGUGCGGAACCAGGGACAAUCGCGGGGCAUUGUAAUUCCAACCGAAAAAUUGGGGAAAUUUCAAAGCGGUAAAGCGCCCAGGAGGAGCACCGACGGCGCGGGCCUGGCCAGUGGCGUGAUGCGCGCGGCUCGUAUCUUUUGGGCAGAGCAGCUCUCUCUCGGCUAGAGAAGAAGAAAAGAAAAAAACGAAACGAACCGGUACAUGCCAAUUUGAUGUAUUAUGUAUGUUGGUGGGAGGGUAAAACGGUCCUAAAAAUUGUUGGACGAAAAUUUUGGCAGAAACCUUAGCUCCUUUAUUAUUAGGUAUAGAUUAAAUUCAUUUUUUUUUUGUACAGAUGCAUACCUCGCCCCCACCUUGGAUUGGAGCUUUGUGCCAUCAGUCUUUUAGACAUUUCUCAUAUUGAUAAGAUAUUGCAUAAAUGUAAGAUUGAUACAGGUCUAAUUGUGAAAGAGGUGUCAGGAGGAUCUUAUGCCGAGAAAAUUGGAAUAAGAGUUGGAGAUGUUAUUGAAUGCUCAAAUGGAGAGGAUAUCCGAACCAUCUUUGAGUUGGAGAACAUGUUAUUGAGCAUAUGCAAGGAGCAUUUUGACAGAGGAAAUGACCUUAAUUCCAAAGUGGAUGUUGCGAUUAGGGUAUUUCAUACGCGCAAAGGUCUCAGAAGCAUCAAGACAUUGUCUGCAAACUUAUCUGAACGCAAAGAAGUGGUUCAACGAGCCCGUUAUCCUAUUACUAUUGGAGAAGGGCUUUUGUAUUAGGUGCCACAUGACCAUGCUUGACAAAUGGGCCCAUGCAAGUGGCAUUUGAUGUACUUUCACUAAUUGAUGCAACAUAUGGGGACGGUUGAUGUCUUUCAAGUUGCAUUUGUACAAUCCAUGUACUUCAUGUUGCAGAUUAAACGAAAAUCGUAUGCCA